rnacentral:rRNA from 1 species
GUCUGUGGCCAUACCACCCUGAAUGCGCCUGAUCUCAGAGGCUAAGCAGGGUCAGGCCUGCUUAGUACUUGGAUGAGAAUUGAGUAGUGAGUGGAAAGAGAAUCAGUUA